CUACGGGCCGCUGCAGUGGGGAAUAUUGCACAAUGGAGGAAACUCUGAUGCAGCAACGCCGCGUGGAGGAUGACACAUUUCGGUGCGUAAACUCCUUUUAUAUGAGAAGAUAAUGACGGUAUCAUAUGAAUAAGCUCCGGCUAACUCCGUGCCAGCAGCCGCGGUAAUACGGGGGGAGCAAGCGUUACUCGGAAUCACUAGGCGUAAAGAGCAUGUAGGCUGAUAGAUAAGUUGGAAGUGGAAUCCUAUGGCUUAACCAUAGAACUGCUUCCAAAACUGUCUGUCUAGAAUAUGGGAGAGGUAGAUGGAAUUUCUGGUGUAGGGGUAAAAUCCGUAGAGAUCAGAAGGAAUACCGAUUGCGAAGGUGAUCUACUGGAACAUAAUUGACGCUGAGAUGCGAAAGCGUGGGGAGCAAACAGGAUUAGAUACCCGAGUAGUC
rnacentral:rRNA from 1 species